rnacentral:tRNA from 1 species
GUUUUUAUAGUUUAACAAAAACAUUGGUCUUGUAAACCAAAAAUAAUUUUUUAUAUUUAAAAACU